CCGCCGGGGGUCCUCCGGGACCCGGUGUCCGGGUCCCCGCUCGGCAUUCCCGCCGCGGUUCGUCCGCGCGCGGGAGAGCGGGCCCGAUCGGGCUCACCGGCGGCGCGGUGAGGCACCGCGCCUCGCCCGGCCUCGGCCGGGAGACCGUCCGCCAAUCUUCCCGCUGCGGUGCUCUUCAUCGAGUGUCGCUGCGGGCCGGCACACUUACCUUGAACAAAUUAGAGUGCUCAUCGCGAGGCGUUCAAAAAACGUCCGAAAGGGCGUGGCCCGCAUACAGGUGCAUGGGAUAACAGAAUACGACCUCGGCUCCGGGGUUUCGUCGGUUCACCGGGCCCGCCGACGACCCGGAAGCGUCGGACACCCGCCUUCGGGCGGGCACCGGCGUCUGACGGCGCGGCGGGUCUUUGCGGGGUCCGAGGUAAUGAUCGAUAGGGGCGGACGGGGGCAUCCGUAUUGCGACGUUAGAGGUGAAAUUCUUGGAUCGUCGCAAGACGAACAGCUGCGAAGGCGCUUGUCAAGCACGUUCCCGUUGAUCAAGAACGAAAGUCAGAGGUUCGAAGGCGAUCAGAUACCGCCCUAGUUCUGACCGUAAACUAUGCCAGCUAGCGAUCCGCCGACGAUCCCUCCGUUAUGGCUCGGCGGGCCGCUUCCGGGAAACCAAAGCUAACGGGUUCCGGGGGAAGUAUGGUUGCAAAACUGGAACUUAAAGGAAUUGACGGAAGGGCACCACCAGGAGUGGAGCCUGCGGCUUAAUUUGACUCAACACGGGAAACCUCACCAGGCCCGGACACCGGAAGGAUUGACAGAUUGAGAGUUCUUUCUCGAUUCGGUGGGUGGUGGUGCAUGGCCGUUCUUAGUUGGUGGAGUGAUUUGUCUGGUUAAUUCCGAUAACGAACGAGACCCCGUCCUGCUAGUUAGGCGAUCCGGGCGCCUCCCGCUCUGGGGCGGCGGUUCGUUCGCGGGCCGUCGUUCCUGGACGUGGGGCUCUAAGCCCGGGACCCGGUAUCGUGAUCCGCACCCCGUCCGCCUCUCGGGGCGAGACCCCGUCGGGGCGGCCGUCGGCGCGGUUCGCGCCGUUGUCGGCGGUCGUUUACCGGCGGGAGCAGUGGGUCGGAGGGCCCGGUCCUCUCGGGGGCCGGACACGCUCGCUACCGGCGGAAUUUUACUCAGCUUCUUAGAGGGACAAACGGCGCAGUCAGCCGUGCGAUACGGAGCGAUAACAGGUCUGUGAUGCCCUUAGAUGUCCUGGGCGGCACGCGUGCUACAAUGGACGGAUCAGCGUGUUCUACCCUACGUCGAGAGACACCGGUAACCCCCUGAAUCCCGUCCGUGGAAGGGACCGGGGCUUGCAAUUGUUCCCCGCGAACGAGGAAUUCCCAGUAGUCGCGAGUCAUAACCUCGCGGCGAUUAAGUCCCUGCCCUUUGUACACACCGCCCGUCGCUACUACCGAUCGAGCGGUUCGGCGAGGACCUCCUACCGGCUCGCCGGCGAUCCGCUUCGUGCGGGGCCGCCGGUGCAGCAUGCGGUUUUGUGCCGCGGAAAGUCGACCGAGCCCGAUCGUUUAGAGGAAGUAAAAGUCGUAACAAGGUUUCCGUAGGUGAACCUGCGGAAG
rnacentral:rRNA from 3 species